rnacentral:rRNA from 1 species
UACGGAGGGUGCGAGCAUUGUCCGGAAUCACUGGGCGUAAAGGGCGCGUAGGUGGCGCGGGCAGUCAACGGUGAAAGUUCGGGGCUCAACCCUGAAUCGGCCGUCGAUACUCCCGGGCUUGAGCACUGUAGAGGCAGAUGGAAUUCCGGGUGUAGCGGUGGAAUGACGUAGAGAUCCGGAAGAACACCGGUGGCGAAGGCGGUCUGCUGGGCAGUAGCUGACACUGAGGCGCGACAGCGUGGGGAGCAAACAGG